rnacentral:rRNA from 1 species
AACGAACGCUGGCGGCAUGCCUAACACAUGCAAGUCGAACGAGACCUUCGGGUCUAGUGGCGCACGGGGGCGGAACGCGGGGGAAGCUGCCCUUAGGUUCGGAAUAACUCCCCGAAAGGGGUGCUAAUACCGGAUAAUGUCUUCGGACCAAAGAUUUAUCGCCUUUGGGUGGGCCCGCGUUGGAUUAGCCAGUUGGUAGGGUAAAAGCCUACCAAGGCGACGAUCCAUAGCUGGUCUGAGAGGAUGAUCAGCCACUCUGGGACUGAGCCCCGGCCCAGACUCCUACGGGAGGCAGCAGUGGGUAAUAUUGGACAAUGGGCGAAGGCCUGAUCCAGCAAUGCCGCGUGAGUGAUGAUGGCCUUAGGGUUGUAAAGCUCUUUUACCCGGGAUGAUAAUGACAGUACCGGGAGAAUAAGCUCCGGCUAACUCCGUG